GCUUCGCCUCCCAUGCGCCGCUCGCCCGCUCCCAAUCCCAUCCAUGGCGUUGCUGCUUCGCCUCCCAUGCCCCACUCACGUUGUUGCCAUCCCCUGCCCUCCCAGGCGCGCGCCCCGUCUCCUGCCCUCCCUCCGCGCCGCUCCGCCUGCCCUCCCAAAGCGUCCGUUACUAGCCUGUUCGCUCCCCGUCUCCAUGGAGCAGCCGCUUAGUCAUCGAGUAAUUAACUUUUGCUGGUCACGCCACGUCCUGCCAUUUACCAUGCUCCGCCCCUUUUUCUUUUCCCAUUCCCACUCAUAAUUAGCCAUGAUCCUCCGCCGAUCUUCACCAUCCUAUCUCCACCCACCCCUCCCCCAUUUCUCUCUCUCUCUCUCUCUCUCUCAGGUUGAGGAUGAAUUUUCUAAUCGUGGUGUUCUUGGUCUCUCUCUUCGAAGGUUCAGGAUGGAUUUCCUUUUCCUGGUGUUCUUGUGUGGUUAGCAUGAAUUACUGUGGCUUUUAGUGAGCUAAGUUGUUUGAUUAUCCUUCAUUUGGCCAUGCAAGUCAUCUCUCUAUGGUCUGUCAUGGAACACAAAUUUGCCCAGUUCGUUCAGAUCAGCUUUGCUCUUCCUAUUAGUACUCUUGGUGACGUCUGCACAUUUGUUUGGCAAUGUACACAUUUUUUAUCUACUAUCAUAAAGAUGUGCGAAGGAAAAUCAGAUUCUUCUUGUGGCUCCUAUUGCUGAACCGAUUAUGGACUGCGGACAGACUUCAUUCUCGUGGAUGGCCCCAUGAUCUUUGCUGUUUCUGUGAUCAAACAAUUGAAUCCUGAUUGAAUCUGCUCCACACAUUAUGCUCUCUUGCACUUUUGCGAAACAGGUAUGGUUUGAUAUGAAGACAAAUUGCGAAAGCGCUUUCUCCAUUGCAUCUAGAUCAAAUUCUUUGAAAAGUGUAGAAAGCUGCUGAGGUUGGGAAAAAGCAAAGAAUCUUCACAUACUAUAACCGUGGCUGUUUAUAUUGUUUGGAAUAUUUGGAAGGAAGAAACAGACGCAUCUUCAACAAGGAAUCUCUUUCCGCUGCUGCUAUUGUAUCGUUGAUCAAGAGUGAUAUUUGCUUCUUCAGGGAAGCUGUUACGGAGGAGUAGAACCUCUUGCUUGAGAGCCUUGGGUUCCUUUUCUUUCUCUUUUCUUCUUCUCUUCGUUUCUCUCUAUCAUGUAGUACACUUUUCCCUCUACUUAAUGAAUGGCAGUGAAUCCUGCUUGCCUGUCAA